rnacentral:tRNA from 1 species
GGGGUUGUGGCUCAAUGGUACAGUGCUUGCCUUGCAUGCAUGAGGCACUAGGUUCAAUCCUCAGCACCA